rnacentral:lncRNA from 1 species
UUGCUAUUGUCACACGAUCCCGUUUAAGUGGUUCAACAACUAGUUCUUUACUUACCAAGAUGCCACAUGACUGUGUUCCUUUUUUGGAAUAUGACCUUGCUCAAAACCCCAGUAAUCGGGACUUGGCAAUUCCUCUGGUAUCUACUCAUGUUCCUUACACUUGUUUACCUAAAUCUAUCAUUUCUUCUAGUUGCAAGAUUAUUUACAUUUGCAGGGACGCAAAGGAUGCUUUUGUUUCUUUGUGGUACUUUCUUGCCAGGCUGCAAAUGUCGAAAAAUGUUGAACCUCUUCCUCUGGAAGGGGCAUUUGAGUUGUUUUGCAAUGGAAUUGCAAAUUUUGGACCAUAUUGGGACCAUGUUUUAGGGUAUUGGAGAGCAAGCUUCGAGUUCCCUGAGAAGAUAUUGUUCUUGACAUAUGAGGAAAUGAAGCAAGACACAGCUGCUCAUGUUAAGAAAUUAGCUGAGUUCAUGGGUUGUUCUUUCACCUUAGAGGAAGAGGAGGGAGGGGAGGUGCAAAAGAUAAUAAGCAUGUGUAGUUUUGAGAAGUUGAGCAGCUUGGAGGUCAAUAAAAAUGGGAAGCACCGUCCGGACACAUCACUUGCUAUUCAAAACAGUGUAUACUUCAGGAGAGGUGAGAUAGGCGACUGGGCAAAUCACUUGACACCUGAAAUGGGAGCACGUCUAGAUGACAUAAUGGAGCAGAAACUCAAGGGUUCAGGCUUGAAGCUGCCCAGGUGACUGUGCCUAGGGUCCCAUUUGCUUAUGAUUAUUGCCCAAGCGGGUUCAUCAAAAGCUGUUAUCAACAUCUCGUGAAACAGAAACUGUGUAUCCCAAUAAAUACCCUCUUUGUUCAUCUCUUGUAUUUCCUAUCAAGUAUUCACAUUUUGUGAAUCAUCCAUGUCAAUAAGCAAUGUUCUUUUGUGAAUCUGUGUUUGUGACUUUCAUUGAUUUCCUUGCAUGCUUGUAAGAAUUCAAAAUGGGAUUCGUUUUUUUAUUUAUUUAUUUAACACAAGUGCAUGCAUUCCAUUAAUCAGUUGGAUAAAAAAUAAAUUUACUCUAAUAUAUAAUAUUAGAGUGUUUUCUUCACAGAAAUUGCAGUGUGUUUUCUUCACAGUUAUACAUGUUUUAAAAGAACCGAGACAACCCAUACAUGAGGGCGGAGCAAAGACCAACCGAGACAACCAUCCAUUAAGAUUGUUGAAUUGCAGAUCAAAUGAACGUAGGCGGCACAUCUGCUGGAAGGAUCUCGAAAUGCCUUGUAAUUGGUUAAAAUAAAGAUCAAGAUCUGUAGGAGAACUCGUGUUUUCCACUCCUAAAAUAAGCCCAGUUGCCGGCUUCAUGUGCAACAGAGGCACAUAGAGAAUCUGAAAGCAGUUUUUAUGCACUAUCAGCAGAAUAAUUUGAUCAGUCAGAAUGAAAACCCCCCCCCCCAGGCUCACAAAUCUUCUUACUUCAAACAAAUCUUUUGGAACCGAUAUAUAUGUCGAGUGAUGGCUUGAUUUAUACCGGAGAUUGUGUUGGAAAAUUAAAGAAGCAUGGCUUAAUUUGUACCUUGGAUGCGCAAAUUGAUUACAGGGAAAAAAUGACAGAAAGUGAGUUGCAGGGAAUGAAAAAGGCAUUAGUAAACUCAACACCUUUCAGGGUAUCGUUCCUUGGUUUGCUCCCUUUUAUUUCUUAUUUUGUUUUUCCUGCCAUUGUCUAAUGUUUUUCUAACUCGCAGUCUGGUCUCUGCAGAGAAUGAGAAAGCACAAACUCUUUAAGAGAAGAUAUUCUCCGGCAAUGGCAUCAAACAGAAAAGUCCGACGUCAACUAAGUGAGUGUAUAGCGUUGCUGCUGUGUUUACAGAAAAACACCAUUGUCAUGUGUUUGGUUACGGUCUAAACAUAAUUUUUUAUCGGUGAGACCCAUUACCAUUUGCAUUUAAACCGCAAGAUAACCAGAAGCAACUUUAAGCUGCGUUUUGUUUUGAGUUGCAAAUUGUGUUAUAAAUAGAGGCCACAAGAAAAAGAGCAGAAACAGAGCAGUGAAUAGUGAUUAGUGGAGAGCAACUCCCUCUCACCACUGACCUCCGCCAGCCACUGCUUUUUCUCUUCUCCUUCUCUUCUCGUUCUCCUUCGUCUUCUGCAUUCUCUACUGUUCACGUGAACAAUGGAGAGUGGAGAGCAGCUCACCAUCAACCCCUGCUGUUUCCACCGCCAGCCACUGCUCUUCCUCUUCCCCUUCUCCUUCGUCUUUUACGUUCUCCACUGUUAAUGUGAACAGUGGAGAGCAGCUCACCACCGGCCUUCACUAUUUCCACUGCCAGCCACUGCUCUUCCUCUUCCCCUUCCCCUUCUCCUUCCCCUUCUCCUUCUCAUUCAUCUUCUGCAUUCUCCACUGUUCAUGGCCGGACUGGGCCUAGCCCAAACCUAAAUGUAUUUGACUGGGUCCGACCCAGUAAAAUAAAAAAAAAUCCAAAUUUUUUUUCUUAAAUAUUGUGUUUUAUUUGAAAAACUAGUGUUUAAAAUUAUUCAAUGACACUACAUAAUUAUAUUAGAAGGAGAUCGCACGAUGACGUAGCAUGUGCAGAAUUUGAUUGCAAUCCUAAUUUUUUUCCUAAUGAUAUUUUACAUGAUGUAAUGAUAUCUUACCUGAUGUUGGUGCAAGUUCAGGAAGCCAUGGAAACUGUAGUUCUUGUCGGAUGGAUUUCGUAUAUGAUUGAAUUGCAAAUAGUUUAAUGGAACAAUAAAAAAUACUUUAUAUAAAGUAUUGUUUAUUUCAUGAUGUAAUAGCAGUAGUUAAAUCUAUAAUAUUUCAAUUAAAAACCAUCAAUAUUAAUAUAUGUCUUUUUUAGUUAUUUUAUAACCUCAAUUUGAAAAGUAUUCUUUAACCAAACACAUUAAACUACUUUUUGUUCAACCUCAAUUUCAACCACAGUUUUAACCAAACAUAUAUUUUUCCAAACUAAUCUAAACUAAAAGUAUUUUUUAUAAAAACAAUUUUUUUCAAACCACAACAGCUACCACAAUACCAAACACACACAAAAAAAACUGUACUGAUAAGUAAGUUACAAUGCCACCACUGAUUUAGGAUCUGCUUUAGAUCUUAUAAGGUGAAAGUUGAAAGCUAGCAAGAAUCGUCACAGAGAUGAACAGAGAAGUGAAUAGAAUUAGAGGGAGAUACUGCAAUGCAGAGGAAGAAGAAAAACAUUUCUGUGUAUAUUCACUUAUAUUUUUUUACCAGCGCUGUUACAUUCAUUUUAUAUGAACCAAGAUGAGAAGCUUGUUUACGUAAUCUAAUCAACAGUAACAGACUUUGUUAACUGUCUAACAAUAUUAACAAACUUUCUAACCAUUGUAUUCUCUAUUCUCUUGACAGGUGGCAGAAGCAGAGCCUUUGAUAUCUUGACAUUCCCCCUCAAUCACAAGCGUGAAGGAACCAAGCAUAAGAUUGGAACAGUGACGCCGAAAUAAAGGAGUGGAAAGACCUUUAGUUAGGAUAUUAGCAAAUUGAUCGGUAGAAGAGACAUGUUGAACCAACAAAUCACCUUUGACAACACGUUCUCAAACAAAAUGAUAAUCAAUUUGGAGAUGCUUCAUUCUGGAAUGGAAGACUGGAUUGGAAGCAAGGGAAAUAGUUGAGAUAUUGUCAUAAUGAAUUAACGGAGGGAUAUGUAAAGGAAUGUGAAUGUCACAGAGCAGUUGGCGAAUCCAGGCAAGUUUGGCAGCAGCAAUUGCUAGAGCCCGAUACUCAACCUCAGUAGAUGAUCGAGAAACAAUAUGUUGUUUCUUAGAAGCCCAAGAAAUAGGACUGGAGCCGAGGAAAACAAUAGAGCCAGAGACAGAACGUCGAUCAUUGGGAUCGCCAACCCAGUCAGCAUCACUAUAAGCUUGUCGAUUAAGAAGACUAGGCUGAAAAUGAAGGCCAAAAUCAAGGGUACCUUUAAGAUACCGCAAGAUUCUUUUGACAGCCACAACAUAAGAAUGCAUGGGAUUAUGCAUAAAUUGACAAGCUCGGUUCAUAGAGAAAGCAAUAUCGAGCCUGGUGAACGUGAGAUACUGCAAUGCGCCAACUAUGCUCCGAUAUUGUUGUGGAUGAGAGUAGGCUUAGCCAUCAUCUUUGAGCAAAUGAUGAUGAGGAAGACAAGAAGUAUCAAAUGAUUUGGAAUUUUGUAAAUCAACUCUAGCAAGUAAGUCUGUGAUAUAACUUAUCUAGGACACAAACAAACCAGAAGGGAGAUAAGAGAUUUGCAAUCCCAAAAAAUAAUUCAACUUACCGGUAUCCUUCAUAUCAAAUUUCUGAGUCAAGGCAGCAAUGACUGAAGAAAGAAGAGAAUAAUGACUGCUAGUAAGAAUGAUAUCAUCUAAAUAGAGUAGCAAUAUCACAACACUAAGAGAAGAAUGCUGAACAAACAAAGAGGGAUCGACAAGAGAUGCUUGAAACCCCAAACAUGGUAAAAAAACUGGUAAAACGUUCAUUCCAGGCACGAGGAGCCUGUUUAAGGCCAUACAAGGACUUUCUUAGUCUGCAAACAAAGUUAGCAGGAUAAAGCUUACUCAUAAAACCUUGGGGUUGAGUCAUAUAAACCUCCUCAUGAAGAAUACCAUGCAAAAAGGCAUUGGUAACGUCAAGCUACCGUAAGGACCAGUUAAACUGAGCUGCAAGAGUAAGAAUUAAACGAACCAUAGUAGGUUUUAUGACAGGACUGAAAGUUUCAUUAUAGUCAAUUCCUUCCUCUUGAAUGAAACCCUUAGCCACCAAUCGAGCUUUAUGCCUAGCUAUAGAACCAUCCGCAUGCUUCUUGAGUCGGUAGACCCAUUUACAGCCAACAAGAUUCUUAGCAGGUGGGAGAGGCACCAAAUCCUAAGUACCUUAUGCAUGAAGAGCAUCAAUUUCCUCCCACAUAGCAGACUGCCAUUCUGGAAAGGUUGAAGCAGCCUUGAAGGAACUGGGUUCAACCUGAGAAAAAGCAACAGACUAUACAGAGGUAAAGUAAGCCUUUCUUUUGGAAAUACCAUUCUUAAACCUGAUGGUCAUUGGAUGAAGAUUCAUCGGUGAAAGAGGUAAGACCACACACAGAUUCUCAGGUUGGAAGUCAGGAUCAAAUCUAGUGACAAAGAAGCGAUUGGUUUGAAUAAAAAAACAGAAAUACCCUUUAUACUGACCAGCAUACCCCAGAAAAAUACAAGUGGAAGUUUUGGGCUGAAGUUUGUUAGUAUUAUAAGGCUUGAGUAAAGGAAAACAAGCACAACCAAAAAUCCACAAAUGAGUAAUGACCAGUGGAGAACCAUAUAACAGGAAAUAAGGUGAUUUGAGUUGAAGAAUUUGACAGGGCAUUCUAUUAAUCAAAUAAAUAGAAGUAGCACAAGCACGAAACCAAAAUUUUGGAGGUAAAUGGGCAGUUUGUAACAGAGUGAUGGCUGUUUCUAAAAUAUACCUAUGUUUGCGCUCAGCAAGGCCAUUCUGUUUCGGAGUAUAGGGACAGGACAUUUGAUGGACAAUACCCUUGGUAAAGAGGUAAUGUUUGAAUUUAGUACUAAGAUACUCACCACCCCCAUCACUUUGAAAGACUCGAAGAGUAGCAGAAAAUUGAGCAACUAAAAAGGUAUGAAAGUAGGCAAAAAUGGAAUAAACCUCUCCUUUAUUGAUCAUCAGAAAAAACCAAGUAAAUCGAGUACAUUCAUCAAUGAAACUAACAUAAUAUCUGAAACCUUCAACAGAUACAGUGGGAGAAGAACCCCAAACAUCACUAUGUAUGACCUCUCAAGGUUUAACAAAUUUAACUGCGGGAUAGGGAAAAGGAAGUUUAGCAAGUUUACCCUCUAAAAAAGUGGUACAAACGAAUUUGGAUGUGUUUGAAGUGAAAGAAAUCUGGGAUUGAUUUAACAGAGUAGAGGUGACUAUGUUAGAGGGAUGACCAAAACGCUUGUGCCAGAGACUUGUGUUGACCUGUUUACCAAGAUAGCAAACUUGAUUAUUUUGAAAGAGAGAUUAUGAAGGAAACGAAAUGGAGAAAGGAAUAGGAUAUAACCCAGCUCUACACAGUCCCUUGAGAAGGACAUUUCCCAUGAAUUUGUCCUGAAUCCAAAAACCAAAAUCAUCACAAAUAAAUCGACAGUUGUUAUCUUUACACAACUUAUGAACCGAUAAUAAGUGUUGAGAUAGCUUAGGCACAUGCAAAACUUGCUUUAAUUGUAAUGAGCAUUGAUGAACAUCUAAAAUAAAAGAACCAAUAUUAGAAAUGGUCAAACUUGAACCUCCUGUAGUGGUAACAGUAUCAGAUCCUGAGAAAGGUGUAGCCAGAUUGAGUUGAGCCAAAUCAGAAGUCAUAUGUGUUGUGGUGCCAUUAUCAGCCAGCCAUAAUUGUUCAGGAGGGGAAGAAGAUGGAAAAUUGGCAUGCAUAGCACUAAGAUUACUGGAGGGAGGCCUGCCUUGAUAGCUGAAAUUACCUCUAUGAUAACAUUGAACGGCAGAGUGCCCAAAUUUUCAACAAAUUUGACAUUGAAUGGAAGUGGCAAAAGUACUUAGCAGAGUGUGGCGUUGAUAACAAUUAGCAGCUACAUGACCUUUUUUAGUACAAAUUUGACAUGUAGGAAUGUCAAUGCCAGAACCAAGAAUGCCAGGAUUAGAAGUAGGUGGAACCUAAUAAGGGCGUGGACUAGAUUGAUAAUGAUUACGUCCUCUGCCAUAACCCUUAAAAUUAAACCCCUGAUUGCCAAAGUAUCCUCCAGUAGAACCAUGAAAGCUACUGUGAUGACCAUUAAAUCCUCCAUUGAAACCAGAAGGAAAUUAAGAUGGUGGAGCAGACUUGGAGCUAGAAGGAUGAGAAUUAGAGUUACCUUUAUCAAGAGCAAGAGCCUUGCCAGGAGAUAUUUGAUGUUGAGCCAUCACUGCAGGAACAAACAGGGAAGCAGAAUAAGUUUGCUCAAGAAUGGCUUCUUCAGCUAGCAAUUGAGACCGAAAAUCUUUAAGGGAUAACACGUUGUCUCGGUCGCGAACAAUACACCUAAAGGUGUUAUAAUUAGAAGGAAGACCAUUGAGAGCCAAGAUUACAAUAUCAUCAUCUUCAAAAUAAACCCCUGCUACAGAAAGAUGGUCUCGAGCAUCUUUGAUCUUUUACAGAUAUUGAGACACAGAAUCUGAGCCCUUCUUGAUGGUUUGAAGCUCACUUUUCAUCUGAAAAAUAUGUGCCUUAGUAAUUGUGGAAAAUCUAUUCUUCAGUUGAAUCCACAUGUCAUGAGAGCUAACACAUUCAAUAACAUAGGAGAUUGCAGUUGAUGAGAGAGUAGCAAUAAUCAACUGCAUCAAUGUCCGGUCAUACAUUUUCCAAACCUGAUGAUCAUCAGUUUCAACACAUUCAAGGUCAGCAUCUGCAUCAAACCGAUUUGGACACUUUCUUGAUCCAUCAACAAAUCCUAAAAUACCAUAACUCUCAAGUAGAAUAUGCAUAUGAAAAUUCCAGAUGAGAUAAUUUGUGUCAUCCAGCUUGACUGUUACAGCUGUUGAAACUGUAGGAAGUAAACAGGUAAUAGGAGAUUGAACAAUUUAAAGUUGAGAAGUAGUCACCAUUUUAGAGUUCAAGAGAUAGCGAGGAAGAGAAUCACAUACGAUAGGCAUAGUCCCAGAUUUGAGAAGAGAGUUGAAGAAGAAUUUUUCAGUUUGACAAUAUAUCAAAUAGAUGAUAGGUAGAUCAAUUAUUAUGAAAGAAUUGGUUGAUUAAGGCGAUAAUAAUACCAGAAACAGAGAGUAGCAAGAUAUUAGAAGCAGAGAAAUCACAGGAUCACAAGAUAAUAACAAUCCUAAGCUCUGAUACCAUGAAAGCUAGCAAGAAUCAUCACAAAGAUGAACAGAGAAGUGAAUAGAAUUAGAGGGAGAUACUGCAAUGCAGAGGAAGAAGAAAAACAUUUCUGCAUAUAUUCACUUAUAUUUUUACCAACAUUGUUACAUACAUUCAUUUUAUAUGAACCAAGAUGAGAAGCUUGUUUACGUAAUCUAAUCAACAAUAACAGACUUUGUUAACUAUCUAACAAUAUUAACAAACUUUUUAACCAUUAUAUUCUUUAUUCUCUUGACAGGGCAGAAGCAGAGCCUUUGAUAUCUUGACAAAAGUAAAACACAAGGAAAUGCAUGCAUGCACACCACUAAUCUUUGAUUCUGGCGAGAACAGUGAUGACUACACUCUGAACCAAAUAGAAUUACAUUCCGAGAUGAAGAAAUUAAUAACACAGAGCAGUGCUAUAAAGCUACAUGUGAAACCAGAGAUUAAUAAGCAAUGCUGAAAAUUUUAUCAAGCAUAAGACGAGAGAAGCAUAGGACAUAUUUUUCCCACAAUUGAAUAUGUGAAUUGAGCACAGAUUUCCCUGUUGCAAACUGUUCCUAAUUUCUCAAAUGAUUAACUAGAAUACGAGUUGCACUUAAAAUUUUAAAGCAACAUAUAUGCUCUUGAUUUUUAGUGAAUUGCUGAAACAAACAUACAAGCUCGAUCACACCUCUAGAACAGAGUGACAGUUCAUGGUGACCUCAAAGACUGCAUCAAGUCCUCCAAGCUCUCGUAACUUUUCCCUAAAGCCCCCCCCAGUCUUCCUUAAUUACCAUGCCAGAUGUAUCUGAAUGAAUGCAACCCAUACAGUGAAAUGAAUAAGCAAUCAGAAAAGGAGAGAGAGAGAGUGAAAAAAUUUGUCACAAAACUAGAUAAUGGCGACCACAUAUCAAUAAUUCGAGAUAUGACGUGGGGCACUUUCAUCGUGAUUAUUGUUUGUCCAAUAAUGUUGGAUGUAUUAUUUCUUGUUAAGACUUUUUAGGUUGUGAAAAGUCCAAGAUGUAGUAUAAUAAAAUAAAUAUAACCUUUGAUUUUAUCAUUUAUAUUGAGCUGAAAUUUUGACAUACAAUUCUAAAGAUUUUGUGGUUAAAAUUUCAAGAUCUUAAAAAAAAGACCUUUAAAUAAGGAUUUAAAGUUACUAUGAGAUGGUCUUUAUUUACCUAUUUGGUAUUGUUUUUAUUUAUAUUAGGAAUUUUAAUUUAAUUAGUAUUUUAUUAUUAAAAAAUUCUAAUAAUAGAUUGAUUCUAUUAGUUAGGCAAGUUUUAAAUACAAUUUAUUUUUCUAUACAAAAUUUUAUAUCUAGAACAAAUAUAAAUAAAAAUAUUUAGUUUAUUUUUUGUUCGGGUAUUCAUAUUAUUAUUAAGAUUUUUUAAAAAUAUUUAGAGAUUUUUUUUUAUUUCGCUAUUGUGUUAGGACUAUAACCUUAAGGUUUGGAUGUUUGUGAAAGUGGAAGCGGUUACUUUUUAAAAUGUUUUUCACUUAGAAAUGCAUCAAAAUCAUAUAUAUAUUUUUUAUUUUUUAAAAUUAAUUUUUGACAUCAAAACAAUGCAAAAACACCAAAAAAUUAAUUUGAAAAAAAAUCAAAAAUUUUGAAAACCUCGAUCAAAAUGUUGUACCAAACACCCUCUUAGUUUUAUCUUAUUUUUAAAAAAUAAUUCUUGAUAUUAGCAAACAAAACAAUUUAAUAACACAAAAAAAUUAAUUUUAAAAAAUCAAAAUCUUAAAAAACUCUCGUCUAAAUGUUUGCUUUUAGUUUUAUCAUCGUUGCACUGCGUAAAGAUGCUAAAAAGAAAAUAGUUGAUAUAGCCACCUAAGUGCUGGUGGUGUUUCAGAGUGUAGUAGCGAUUGUUUUUUAAAGUGUUUUUUACUCGGAAAUGCAUUAAAAUAAUAUUUUUUUAUUUUUAAAAAAUUAUUUUUAACAUCAGCAUAUCAAAAUGAUCUGAAAAUACUGAAAAAAAUAUUAAUCUAAAUUAAAUAAAAAAAUAAAAAAAAAUCAAUCUCUUUUAAAAAUAUUUUUAAAAUGCAGAAACAAACAGGAUCUCUCAACCUGCUACAAAUAACUGCUGCAAUGGCCUUUCUUUAAUAUUUUACUUACACCAUUCUGCACAAUAUUUUCUUUUGUACAUCCAUGGAACCCUCUUUGCCUUCUACACAAAUUCAAAGCCCAUGCUAAAAACUACAAGGAAAUGAUCUCUACCUUUCUACAAGUUAAAGGCUUUUGGUACUUUCCGUCCUUCUUGGGAAGACCCAUCUCAGUUCAAGAACACUUCGAGCCUCAAUCCACUGAUAUAUUUGUCGUCAGCUUCCAAAAACGAAGGAAAUCUUUGGUUAAUGUUCUCUAAUAAGUACUAACACCUUUUCUCCUUCAACAGUGAAAUUUACGUGCCUUUCACACCUUUUUACGUUCGAACAUUUCAUUUGUUCUUGUGCUCUAAAUUCUAAAUUGAGUCUGUUUUUGUGAGUUCCAUUCUUCUAUUUAAAAGAUUAGAAAACGCAAGAUUGCAUCAAUGCUAAAUGCAAUUUCAAUAUCUGUGUGUGUGUCAAAUGCAUGGUGAUGUUACAUGAUGUGUUUGUUUUUACGUUUCAAAAAUAUUUUUUUAAAAUUAAAUUUUAUUUAUUUAUUUUUUAUUUUAAAUUAAUAUUUUUUAGUUUUUUCGGAUUAUUUUAAUUUACUGAUAUCAAAAUUAACUUUUUUAAAAUAAAAAAAAUAUUAUUUUAAUACAUUUCUGAGUAAAAAAUACUUUGAAAAGUAACUGCUACUACACUUCCAAAUAUACCCUUAAAAAAACAAAGUUAUGGAGUUGGAGGCUCUAAAUAUUCCUCAAAAUAUCAAGUCUUAAGGGCUCGGAGCUAUUAUCCAGUCUUAAAAUUUUUGCAUUUUAAAAAUAUUUUUAAAAAAAUGAAUAUUUUUUACUUUUUUUUAUUUUAAACUAUAUUUUUUUCUUUCUGUUUUUAUAUUGUUUUUAUGUAAAAAAUAAAUUUUAAAAAAUAUAAAAAUAUUUUUUUAAAAACAAUCACCAUACAAUAACAAAUAAAAUAUUAAUAUGAAAUAAAAUCUAAUUCUACCAGCAGACAGCUGAUAAGAAUACUAAAAAAGUGUAAAUUUUGACUUAAUUCAAUUAUUAGAAUUUGGGGCAGCGUAACAGUGUCAAAGAAAAUGUCAGAAAAGUAGGGCAAACAGUGCAAAUACCUUGGAUGAUGGUGACCAAAUAUUUGUAAUUUGAGACAUCUCGUUCUUGAAAAGAAAUAGUUAAUAGUGCCAAUAAUUUUUUUUUAUUAAUUUGAGGUGUUCAGACCAGUUUGCAUGCACCUCGACUAAUACUUACGGUUCUUGAAGUUAACGAAUAAAUAAGCCUCCAGUGGCCAUCAAUAUUAACAACUACAAGGCUCGAACUUGAGACCACAGGGGGGCAAACCCCUUGAUCCAAAACUCUUACCACUUGACCACCUACUAGAUGGUUAGUACCAAUAAUUAAUUUGCUCUCAACUUGCUACAAAUAGCUGCCAUGAUCACAUAUUCAAGAAACACUAGUUUAAGAGCUUGGGAUCAAGAGGUUUGCUCCCUCUGUAGUCUCAGGUUCAAGCCCUGUGGUUGCUCAUAUGAUGGCCACUGGAGGCUUACAUGGUCGUUAACUUCAGGGCCCGUGGGAUUAGUAGAGGUGCGUGUAAGCUGGCCCGGACACCCACGUUAAACUAAAAAAAAAAAAACACUAGUUUAUAAACCCUGAGGGGUAGCUCAACUGGUUAGAUUUUGAGUAUGUUUCCUAAUAAUCACGAGUUUGAGUUCUUUUAGGCCAACUGGAGGCUUACAUAGUUUUAAACUUCAGGACUCGUGAAAUUAGUAAAGGUACAUACAAAUUCAGUGGUGGAGCCAGAAAUUUUUAAAUGAGGAGGCAAAUUACUAACAAAUAUUUGAUAUUAUAUGCUAUACAUAUAUAUGUUAUAUAUAGAAAUGAAUUUGAAAUACAUGUGCCUCAAGUCAAGCAAAAUUAAUUUAAGAAUACUUUUAAAAUGAAAAAAACUUAUGUUAUAAUUGUUUUCUUCGAGAUUUUAUAUUUUAAAACUGCUUCAUAAUAAUUUUAUUUUUAAUUUCAUUAAAAAUAUAUUUCUCAAUAUAUACAACAAACUUUCAUUUAUCUAUUUCUAAAUCUUCCAAGUACUAGGAAAGUUGUUGACAACAAUUUUAUGCUGACAUAUGGUACAUAACAUCUAAAAUCAUAUCUUAAAAGAAUUGUCAUAAAUUGAAGUUGUUCUUACUGACUUGUUGUUUUGUACAAGUAGAUUAAAUAUAAAUAUUAAAUGUUUUUUUAAAUUUAUCUAUUAUGUCUCUAAUUUUUUUAGUUGUCUUAUACUUCAUUUUUAAUCAUUAGUAAAUUCAUUAUCAUCGUUUUUCAUAUGAAAUUCAUAACAAAACUUAUCAAUUCAUCAAAACUCAUUUCAAUUCAUAUCCAUUAGCAUAUAAUAUUACCCAUACACAUAUUAAUUCAACAAACCCAUAAAUUAUUAUAAACCCUAACAUUUUUAAUAACUAAUUUUUGGAGAUGUAGACCCAGUAUUUUUGGAGCUUCCAUAUCUAGUUGACCUAUCAGGAAGAGAUGAAGUUAACGUUUGGGAAUGCGGUGCAAACCAUGUUCCCCUAAAAUUAAAUUUUUUUUUGUUAAAAAUUAAUUUUUUGGUAUAUUUUGGAUCGUUUUGAUGCGCUGAUCUCAAAAAUAAUUUUUAAAAAAUAAAAAAACAUCAUUUUGAUGCAUUUCGGCACAAAAAAUACUUUGAAAAGCAACUGUAACCACACUCCUAUACAAGUAAAGUCUCUAACAGCACAAGUAUAAAAAAUAUAACUGCUGGGCAAACCAACUCUUUUCUCAAACCCAUCAGUUGCCUCAUGAUAUAUAUAUAUAUAUACACAUAUAUAUAUAUAUAUAUAUAUAUAUAUAUACACACACACACCAUGCAUAGAAUUCAUGGAUAAAAGAAAGGAAUUGGAUCUGAUUUGAGGUGGGGGGAUUGCCCCCUCUUGCCUUUAUGUGGCUCCGCCACUAUAUAAAUUAGUUUGGAUAUUUACAUUAAUUAAAAAAAAAAUACUGGUCUAGAAAAGCGAUCUACAAGGUGAUUAUUUAGUUGACUAAUUGAAUCUGUUUUUUAUAAAAAAAAUAUUUUAGAAGAUAAUUUUUAAUAAUUUUAGAUUUUUUUAUAUAUAAAUAUCAAAAAUAAAAUUAAAAAAAUAACAAAAUAUUAUUUUAAUAUAAUUUUAAAUAAAAAACACAUUUAAAAAAACUUAAUAGUAUACUCUCAACCAAGGUUGUCAAUUCCGUUUCGGUAGGUGUUUCGUUUUUUUAAUUGGAAUGGAAUGUUUCAGUUUCGGAGUGUUUCGGCGUGCCGUUCCGGGGUUGUACUGUUCAUAUAUAUAUAUUCAACAAACAUAAUUCAAAUUCAAGAUAAAUUAAUUAUAAAUUAUGCAAUACAAACACAAUGCCAAACAAAUAUAAUUUCAAAAUUUAAAAUAUUUCUAAAUAGUCAAGAUUAAAUAGAUCUUUACCUUAAAGUAAUUCAACUUAAACAAAAUAUCAAAAUAUUAUGAAAGUAAAAUGUUUUAACAUAAAUAUUUUAAAUAUAAAGUUAGGUCAAUGUUAUCAAGGCUAAUUGAAUCUAAAGCAUCCCUUGGUUUGCUCAAAUUUCUACAAAGUAUAAACAUGAAAAAAAAACAUGAAUAUAAACCUUAUAUAUUAGUGAUAAAUCUAAUUUUAAAAAAUUAAUAUCAUUGUUAAUGAAAAUAGUAAUAAUAAUUUUCAAUAUUAUUAUUAAUAUCAUUGUUAUUGAAAAUAGUAAUGAAAAAGAGCCUUUUAUAAUUGGGUGAUUUAAUUAAUUAAAUUGAACAAAAUUCAAUUUGAUUCAAUGGAUUUUCAAGAACGGAACGAAACAAGUGGAAUGAAACCGGAACGUUCCGGGUGGAAUUUAGCCGAAAAAUACAGAACAGACCGAGAUUUAAAAUAAAAUGAAAUUUAUUUUAUUUUUUAAAUUGGUAUGAAAUAUUUCGUUUAUUUCAUACGAAACAAAACAGAAUUGACAACUUGCUCUCAAGCACCCAAAAUAGAGGAUUCAAUUGUAUUGUGGGUUCCACACCAUUUAAAGCUUGCAAAGAAGGAUUUGAAACACAAUCACACUAAAGAUUUGCAAUGGAAUAUAAUAUAAAAUAAUACCCAAUGGCAUCAGCGGACAUGUAAUCAAUAAUAUUAAAAUACAGUAAAUUUUGAUUUAAUUCAAUUAUUGGAUUCUAGGCAGCGUGACAAUGUCAGAAAAUCUUGGAUGAUGGUGACCAAAUAUAUCAGUAAUUUGAGACAACACGUUCCCGAAAGGUAAUAGCUGAUGGUGCCAAAAAUUAAACCAGCUCUCAACUCGCUACAAAUAGCUGCCAUGGCCUUUCAUUCUACCUUAUAUUUCUUUUUUAACUUUCAUGGAAUCCUCUUUGCCUUCCUCCCAAAUCUUGGAUUCUGAUGGAAAUGCUGAGAGGAAAAAUGAAGCUAAAAAUUACAAUGAAGUGAUGUCCACCCUUCCAAAAGUUAAAGGCUUGAGGGGGGAUGAUUAUUACCUGUACCAAGGCUUUUGGUACGCUCCCUUCUUCUUGGAAAGACUCAUGUCUGUUCAAGAGCACUUCCAUCCUCAAUCCACUGAUAUAUUUGUCGCCAGUUUUCCAAAAACUGGCACAACUUGGCUUAAGGCCCUCACUUUUGCUAUUUUCACACGAUCCCGUUUAAGUGGUUCAACAACUAGUUCUUUACUUUCCAAGAUGCCACAUGACUGUGUUCCUUUUUUGAAUUAUAACCUUGCUCAAAACCCCAGUAAUCGGGACUUGACAAUUCCUCUGCUAUCUACUCAUGUUCCUUACAGUUGUUUACCUAAAUCUAUCAUUUCUUCUUGUUGCAAGAUUAUUUACAUUUGCAGGGACGCAAAGGAUGCUUUUGUUUCUUUGUGGUACUUUCAUGCCACGUUGCAAAGGUCGAAAAAUGUUGAGCCUCUUCCUCUGGAAGAGGCUUUUGAGCUGUUCUGCAAUGGAAUUGCAAAUUUUGGACCCUACUGGAACCAUGUUUUAGGGUACUGGAGAGCAAGCUUGGAGUUCCCCGAGAAGAUACUGUUCUUGACAUAUGAGGAAAUGAAGAAAGACACCGCUGCUCAUGUUAAGAAAUUAGCUGAGUUCAUGGGUUGUUCUUUCACCCUAGAGGAAGAGGAGGAAGGGGAGGUGCAAAAGAUAAUAGGCAUGUGUAGUUUUGAGAAGUUGAGCAACUUGGAGGUGAAUAAAAAUGGGAAGUGCCUUCUAGACAUAUCAAUUCCUAUUCCAAAUAGUAUAUUCUUCAGGAAAGGUGAGAUAGGCGACUGGGCAAAUCACUUGACACCUGAAAUGGGAGCACGUCUAGAUGACAUAAUGGAGCGGAAGCUCAAGGGUUCAGGCUUGAAGCUGCCCAGGUGACUGUGCCUGGGCCCCGUUUGCUUAUUAUUAUUGGCUUAGUGGGUUCGUCAAAAGCUGUUAUCAACAUCUCGUGAAACAGCAACCGUGUAUCCCAAUAAAUACCCUCUCUGUUCAUCUCUUGUAUUUCCUAGCAAGUAUUCACAUUUUGUGAAUCAUCCAUGUCAAUAAGCAAUAUUCUUUUGUGAAUCUGUGUUUGUAACUUUCAUUGAUUUCCUUGCAAGUUUGUAAGAAUUAAAAAUGGGAUUCGUUUUUUAUUUAUUUAUUUAACACAAGUGCAUGCAUUCCAUUAAUCAGUGAUAAAAAAAAAUAAAAUUACUCUACUAUAUAAUAUUAGAGUGUUUUCUUCACAGAAAUUGCAGUGUGUUUUCUUCACACUGCAAUACAUGUUUUAAAAGAACCGAGACAACCAUACAUGAGGGCGGAGCAAAUACCAACCGAGACAACCAUCCAUUAAGAUUGUUGAAUUGAAGAUCAAAUGAACAUAGGCGGCACAUCUGCUGAAAGGAUCUCGAAAUGCCUUGUAAUUGGUUAAAAUAAAGAUCAAGAUCUGUAGGAGAACUCGUGUUUUCCACUCCUAAAAUAAGCCCAGUUGCCGGCUUCAUGUGCAACAGAGGCACAUAGAGAAUCUCCCCCCCCCCCCCUCCAGGCUCAGAUCACAAAUCUUCUUACUUCAAACCAAUCUUUUGGAACCGAUAUAUAUGUCGAGUGAUGGCUUGAUUUAUACCGGAGAUUGUGUUGGAAAAUUAAAGAAGCAUGGCUUAAUUUGUACCUUGGAUGCGCAAAUUGAUUACAGGAAAAUAUCAAAAAAAAAUUUCCUUUCUUUAUAACUUAUGAAGAGUAAAAUAAAAAAAAAGUUAAUAGUAAAACAAAAUAACCCCAAGUGUACAUUAUCAAUGCAAAACUAGAUUUUUCCUUAUUUUAUAUCCCUUUCUUUUGAUAUACUUCUUCUUUUAUGCCCCUUUCUUUUGGUAUAUCUCUUCUUUGUAUCUUUUGGUGUUAAUCACUUUGUUGAAUGCCUCUGUUGAUAUCUUUUAUAACUCACUACAGUGAUUUGAACAUUGAAAAUGUUUCCUUUUAAAAAAAAAAAAUAGAGAAGGCAUUUUGAUUUCAUCUUCAAUUUUUCUGCAUGUCUUCUUCUUUCAAAGUAUUGGGUUUAAAACACAAUCAUGCUCUACAUCAUGCUUUGAGUUUUCCAGGUUAUUUUCAGAAAGAUUUGAUAUAUUUGACCUGAAAGAAAAAAAGGAUGUACAAAGCUUUGCAUUUCUGGAACGUCUUUUCAUCAUGCUCUACAUGAUUCAAUCACAUUGCUCACAUCUACAUGAGUAACCAGAAAAGCAAGUAUUUCAUCGGAUUCUACAUGAUUCGAUCACUUCGCUCACAGCUUUAUGAGUCUCUGGUGAUAUCGUGUUUAAUUAAAUAGAAUAUUUAUUAUAAGAAACAGAUUUAUCAAAUAUAAUUGAGUAUAUGCCUCAUCAUAUCAAAUAUUUUAAUUAGAUGUAACUAUCUAGGUGGUGGUUCAGUGGUAAAAGUUUGGGACCAAGAUGUUUGUUCCCUCUGUGGUCUCAGGUUCGAGCCCUGUGGUUGCUCAUAUGAUGGUCAUUGGAGGCUUACAUGGUCGUUAACUUCAGGGCCCGUGGGAUUAGUCAAGGUGCACGCAAGCUGAUCCGGACAUCCAUGUUAAACUAAAAAAAUAUAUAUAUUUUAAUUAGAUGCGUGUGUACAAGUAUUUUAAUUUAUGAUUAAGAAUUUUUUUAUAUCAAAAAAAAAUUAAAAAGUCUGUAUAUUUAUUUUUCCUUGUUAAAACAAUUAUCUGAAAUAGCCAGUAAUCAACUAACUAUGAAAGAUAAGAUUGAGAAUUGAGAAGUUUAUUUGUCAGCAGACAGUAGCUUCAGUAGAUGGAAAAAGACUCUCUAGAUCACCGGAUCAAUUCCCACCUUCAUGAACUAUUUUUUAUUAGUACAGAAAGCUUCAUAUCAGUCAAAACUCUCUCUCUCUCUCUCUCUCUCUCUCUCUCUCUCUAAAUGGAUCAGAGACUACACAAAUAUAGAGGUGGAGCUUCACAUUAAGCUUCAGAUCAAUUUUCUAUUUUAAAAUCUCAUAAGUUUGGUCCAUUGAUUGCCCUAGAUUGCCCUAGAUUUUCCUGUGUUUUAUAUCCUUUUCUUUUGACAUUUUUUUUAAUCUUUUUCCAGGCCAAAAUCCUAAUUUAAUGUUUGAAAUUGAGAUGAUAAUUAUUUAACUAGAAAAUAUAUUAAAAUAAUAUUUUUUAUUUUUAAAAAUUUAUUUUAAUCAUCACCACAUUAAAACAAUCUAAAAUUAUAUAAAAAAAUUAAAAUAAUAAGAUUUAAAAAUAUUUUUUAAACACAAAAACAAACACAAUCAUCACUCAUAUAUCAUGAGAUUUGCAUUUAGACAUUAAAAUUCAAGAAGAAAUUAAGUUCACCGUACUAUUAAUUCAGUCGAUGAAGGAUUAGUCCCAACUACUUUAGGCCACCAUUAAUUACUUUAUUUAAAUGUAUACUUCUUUAUUAAUUCAGUCGAUGAAGGAUUAGUCCCAACUACUUUGGGCAUUUUAACUCCAUCUUCAAUUACUUUAUUUAAAGGUAUCCUUCUUUCUUAGAUAUUGAAUUUUGAAAACACAAUCAUGCUAAAGAUUUGUCAACGAAUUGUUUUUUAAAAUAAAAAAAUAUUUUAAAAAAUAAUUAAUACCAUACUACCGAGCAAAUGAAGUUAUGUGGAGGGUUCCGCACCAUUUAAAGGUUGUAAAGAAAGGUUUAAAACACAAUGACGAUAAAGAUUUGCUAUCGAAUAUAAUAUGAAAUAAUAAUACCCAAUUGCAUCAGCGGACAUGUGAUCAACAAUAUUAAAAUUCUGUAAAUUUUGAUUUAAUUCAAUUAUUGGAAUUCCAGGCAGCGUGGCAAUGUCAGAAAAUCUUGGACGAUGGUGACUAAAUGUUUGUAAAUGGAGACGGCACGUUCGCGGAAGGUAAUAGUCGAUGGUGCCAAAAAUUAAAUCAGCUCUCAACUCGUUACAAAUAGCUGCCAUGGCCUUUCAUUCUACAUUAUUUUUUCUUUUUUCACAUUCAUGGAAUCCUCUUUGCCUUCCACCCAAAUCUUGGAUUCUGGUGAAAGUGCUGAGAGGAAAAAUGAAGCUAAAAAUUACAAUGAAGUCAUGUCCACCCUUCCAAAAGUAAAAGGCUUGAAUGGGUGUGAUUAUUACCUGUACCAAUGCUUUUGGUACGAUCCCUCCUUCUUGGAAGGAAUCAUGUCUGUUCAAGAGCGCUUCAAUCCUCAAUCCACUGAUAUAUUUCUCGCCAGUUUUCCAAAAACUGGCACAACUUGGCUUAAGGCCCUCACUUUUGCUAUUUGUACACGAUCCCGUUUAAGUGGUUCAACAACUAGUUCUUUACUUUCCAAGAUGCCACAUGACUGUGUUCCUUUUAUGGAAUAUGACCUUGCUCAGAACCCAAGUAAUCGGGACUUGGCAAUUCCUCUGGUAUCUACUCAUGUUCCUUACACUUGUUUACCUAAAUCUAUCAUUUCUUCUUGUUGCAAGAUUAUUUACAUUUGCAGGGACGCAAAGGAUGUUUUUGUUUCUUUGUGGUACUUUCUUGCCAGGCUGCAAAUGUCUGAAAAUGUUGAGCCUCUUCUUCUGGAAGAGGCUUUUGAGUUGUUUUGCAAUGGAAUUGCAAAUUUUGGACCCUACUGGAACCAUGUUUUAGGGUACUGGAGAGCAAGCUUGGAGUUCCCCGAGAAGAUACUGUUCUUGACAUAUGAGGAAAUGAAGAAAGACACCGCUGCUCAUGUUAAGAAAUUAGCUGAGUUCAUGGGUUGUUCUUUCACCCUAGAGGAAGAGGAGGAAGGGGAGGUGCAAAAGAUAAUAGGCAUGUGUAGUUUUGAGAAGUUGAGCAACUUGGAGGUGAAUAAAAAUGGGAAGUGCCUUCUAGACAUAUCAAUUCCUAUUCCAAAUAGUAUAUACUUCAGGAAAGGUGAGAUAGGCGACUGGGCAAAUCACUUGACACCUGAAAUGGGAGCACGUCUAGAUGACAUAAUGGAGCGGAAGCUCAAGGGUUCAGGCUUGAAGCUGCCCAGGUGACUGCGCCUGGGUCCCAUUUGCUUCUGAUUAUUGCCGAAGUGGGUUCAUCAAAAGCUGUUAUCAACAUCUCGUGAAACAGCAACUGUGUAUCCCAAUAAAUACCCUCUCUGUUCAUCUCUUGUAUUUCCUAGCAAGUAUUCACAUUUUGUGAAUAAUCCAUGUGAAUAAGCAAUGUUCUUUUGUGAAUCUGUGUUUGUAACUUUCAUUGAUUUCCUUGCAAGUUUGUAAGAAUUAAAAAUGGGAUUCGUUUUUUAUUUAUUUAUUUAACACAAGUGCAUGCAUUCCAUUAAUCAGUGAUAAAAAAAAAAAAAUUACUCUACUAUAUAAUAUUAGAGUGUUUUCUUCACAGAAAUUGCAGUGUGUUUUCUUCCCACUGCAAUACAUGUUUUAAAAGAACCGAGACAACCAUACAUGAGGGCGGAGCAAAUACCAACCGAGACAACCAUCCAUUAAGAUUGUUGAAUUGAAGAUCAAAUGAACAUAGGCGGCACAUCUGCUGAAAGGAUCUCGAAAUGCCUUGUAAUUGGUUAAAAUAAAGAUCAAGAUCUGUAGGAGAACUCGUGUUUUCCACUCCUAAAAUAAGCCCAGUUGCCGGCUUCAUGUGCAACAGAGGCACAUAGAGAAUCUGAAAGCAGUUUUUAUGCACUAUCAGCAGAAUAAUUUGAUCAGUCAGAAUGAUCCCCCCCCCACUAGGCUCAGAUCACAAUUCUUCUUACUUCAAACAAAUCUUUUGGAACCGAUAUGUGGAGGGAUGGCUUGAUUUAUACCGGAGAUUUUGUUGGAAAAUUAAAGAAGCAUGGCUUAAUUUGUACCUUGGAUGCGCAAAUUGAUUACAGGGAAAAAAAUGACAGAAAGUGAGUUGCAGGGAAUGAAAAAGGCAUUAGUAAACUCAACAGCUUGCAGGGCAUCGUUCCUUGGUUUACUCCGUUUUAUUUCUUAUUUUGUUUUUCCUGCCAUUGUCUUAUGUUUGUCUAACUCGCAGUCUGGUCUCUGCAGAGAAUGAGAAAGCACAGACUCUUUAAGAGAAGAUAUUCUCCGGCAAUGGCAUCAAACAGAAAAGUCCGACGUUAACUAAAUGAGUUCAUGGGUCUCUUGUCUGAAUAUAGAAGUGCAGAAACUAAGCUUGACCAAAAACCCCCAUGCUACCAACUACAACUCAACAAGCAACAAAUCAAAUGAAUUGUGAUCCGCCAGUAAACAGCGAAUGGACACUGCCCCAGCAAUAGAUCAUACAAGCUCUGACCAACCGGUCAAAGAUCACGAGGACCCUACCCACUGCCCACUGACUGACAAUUCAUCAAAUAGAUUUAUUGCCGUUCACCACCUUAUUUAGAUGUAUUUUUAAAUAAUAUCCGUGAACUCAAAAAAAAAUCACUCAAAUAUCUCCCUAGAAAACUGACCUUGAACUCUUAACUAGGAGAAAAACAAAGAGGAAAAAUAGAGCUUAUAACAUAGGAAACUACGCUGAAAACUGAGGUGAAAAAAAGUGUAAGAAAUUCUGUAAAAAUGUCCAGAAACACUUUUUAUCACUUUUUACAGAGGAUUUUGAAACCUAAACCAAUGUAGAUUUACUUUUAGUAAUUAUUAAAAAUUAAUUUUUAUCAUUAUCAAUCUUAAUUAUCCGUUAUAAAUUAAAAUUAACCUUAACCCUUUUAGCUUUAAAUAUAAUGCUUUGUUAGAAUUAUAAAAACCAUUCAAAUUGAAAAAAAUUGCUUAGGCUGAAAAAAGUGUUCAGACUCUAUAUUCAUUGACAGUACAAACUGAUGGAUUAGAAAGAAAAAAAAUAUAUAGGCCAAAAAAUUAUAAAUCCAAACCCAAGUUUAAAAUAUAUUGAUAAAAAUUAAUUAUUUAUAGUUUACAAUAAAAUCAGACUUGGGACAAGCAAGCCAAUUAAGCAUGGGACUUCAACUCAAAGUUUACUUUACUUAGGUUUUUUUUUUUAAUCUGAGUGUAUUUUAAUCCAAUUUUAAUUCUUUAUAUUUUUAAUAUAUAAUUAACAAUAAAAAUGUUGUUUUUUUUACGUGAAAUAAAGGUUUUGAAUUUCACAAAGAUAUAUUCAUCAACAAAAUUAAAUUUUUAUUUAUUUAUAAUUUAUUUUAAUUAUUUUAAUAUUUUAUGUUAAAGAGAUUUGGUUGGAGAAUAAGUUUCAAUAAAAUUUAAAUCCGAAAAAUAAGUAGAUUUUAUUUUUAAUUUUAUUUCAAAUAUAUUUAUUUUUUAUGUUUUAAAACAAAUUUUAUCUCAUCUAUGUAUGUAUAAAUAUAUAAUCACAAUUCUCAAUACAGCACUUAUAGUUAGUUAUCGAACGAAAGAAUGUUAUCUCUUUCAGUAUGCCACAGAUAUUCAAAACACGGCGGUCACCCUUAUUAGCUUGCAGUCGUCUAUCGAAGUAUUAUCGCCAAAUCCACAGAAGCAAGGCAAACCACAGUUUUCUCUAGUUAUAGGACUAGACGGUACUGCGCUAGACUGCAGGUUUACAAUAUUUUUUCGAUAAAAUAUUUAAAUCAUGAGAAAAUCAUGCAUGAUUAAAAGAGUAAAAUUCAAAUUAAAAAUAUCAAUACAUGACAAAAUAAAAUUAAAAAAAAUUAAAUAAAAUUUUUAUAAAAAAACUAGAAUAAAAGAGAGGACUGAAACCGAAAAAGUUUAAACAAAAAGGACAUACCUGCAAUUUGAGGGGGGGAGGGAGGAGGAGAAAAAAAAAGGUUCAUCAACAACGAACUGCUCGACCUUCACCUACAUGUAUCGCACCAUGAGAAAGAGGAAGCAGUGAUGCUUCCAACAACACAAUAAAAUGUUUAUUUUUACAACUAGAGGUAUUGCAUGCUAUACUUGAAGUGCUAGCUUUUUAAAUUUUAAUAUUAUUUAUUUUUUUGUUAAAAGAUUACAAUGCGCAAACUAAAAAGAAAAACAAUAUAAAAAGAUAAAGUAUAACCUUGACCUAAAGCUUUUCUUUUUCUUUUUACUUCAAGGAUAUUUAAGUAAGUUUAGUGUACAUUCAAAAGCAUUUAAUGAAAUACCCUUCGACCAAGGUUUUUUUUUUUUUUAAAGUAUAAGACACUUAACAAAAUAAUAAAUAACAAAAAUUAAAAACUUAAAAAGACAAAAAAUACCCUUCGACCAAGGUUUUUUUUUUUUACUCCAAAGCAUUUAAUGAAUCUCGCCCAUAACGACAGCAAGUCUUUAAAAAGUGGAUUUCCUGAUGAAACCUGGAUAGUAUCAGUGCCAGCUCGAGCUCAGAAUGCGGCAUCUAUUGAUUAACUUACCAGUUACCAACACAAGGAGACACACACAACAACUUUAAAAAGGGCAUUAUAUAGCUAAACAUUGAUUAUUAUUUUUAUUUCAUUUUUAAUAUUAUAUUAAUUUUAAAUAUAUAUAUUUUUAAUUUCUCCAUUCAAUAACAAGUUGAAAUUCAUAAUUUUAUUUAAUUCAUUUCUUAUAAUAAUUUUUUUCCCAUCGUUUAAUUAAAUAAAAUAUUUAUUAUAAAAAAUAAAAUUAUUAAACAUAAUUGAGUAUAUGGCUUGUAUUUUUAGGUUAAAUAUUGUAAUUAGAUGUGGGUAUAAGCAUUUUAAUUUAUAAUUAAAAAGAAAAACUAUAUCCAAAAAAGAAUUUAAAAAACCUGUAUAUUUAUUUUUCAAUUAUCUAACCUGCAGCAGUGAAGUGCAAUUGAAAUAGCUAGUAAUCUAACUAAAAAAUUUAAGAUAAGAUUAAGAAAUGAGAAGUUUAUUUGUCAGCAGACAGUAGCUUCAGUAAAUAGAAAAUAUAGACUGUACUGCUGCUGAUCCCGGGAUCAAUGCCCACCUUCAUGGAUUAUAUAUAUAUAUAUAUAUAUAUAUAUAUUCAAUGUGAGAUAUUAAGUCAUUUAGUACAUACUAGUUAGAUGACUUGUGCGGUGCUGCGAGUUAAUUUUUUUUGCAUAAAAAUAUAUAAAAAAACUAAAAUCUAAAAGUAUUAGGUCUUUUUGCAAAGUUAUACCCAAGAAUCUUGGGUUUGGCUGCAACGCCUGACCCAAGAGUAAUAUUUAUAAUAUUAAUUAUAACAUUAAACUUGCAUGACUCAAGUUUAAAUGAGUCUAGAUGCAAUACCAUACCCAAUAGUCUUGGAUGUGGGUCUGGCUGCAAGGUCGUGUAAUAAAAGUGUGAUAAUUAAAUAGAUUAAUUAAAAAUAAAAAAAACAAAGAAAAAAACAAACAUGAAGAAAAAAACUAAUGAAGAAAAAGAAAAAAAAUUUGAAUUAACUGGGUUAACCCUUCAAACCAGGUUAAUCCGUCAAACCUUGGAUUCGUGUCGUGAAAGUUUGAUAACUAAAUAAAAAAAAAAUGAACAUUAACAAACUAAAUUAAAUGAAAAAAAUAAUUAAAAAAAAAAGCAUCAGCCUUUUCACUGUGGACUGCACUGUGCAGUCCACAGUCAAAUGCAUAAAAACAACAAAAAAGCAAAAAGAAAAACUAAAGGCAUCAAUCGAUAACUAAAUAGAAAAAAAAUUUAAUAUUGAUGAACUAAAUUAAAUAAAAAAAAUUAAAUAAAAAGAAGAAAAAACUUAUAAGAAGAAAAAAACUAAUGAAGAAAAAGAAAAAAAAUCUAAAUUAACUGGGUUAACCCGUCAAACCUGAGAUCCGUGUCAUGAAAGUCUGACAACUAAAUAAAAAAAAUUUAAUAUCAAUAAACUAAAUAAAAAAAUUAAUUUAAAAAAAAGGCAUCAGCCUUUUCACCGUGGAUUGCACUGUGCAGUCCAUAGUGAAAGGCAUGAAAAUAAAAAAAACAAAAAAAAACUAAAGGCAUCAGCCUUUUCACUGUGGACUGCAUAGAAUAUUAAAAGAUGAAAUCGGAAGAACAAAACUAAUGAGGAAAAAGAAAAAAAAAAUCUGAAUCAACUAGGUUAAUCCGUCAAAUCAAGUUAACCCGUCAAACUUGAAAGUGUGAUAACUAAAUAGAAAAAAGAUUUAAUAUUAAUGAAAUAAAUUAAAAAAAGAUUAAUUAAAAAGGAAAAAAGCAAAGAGAAAAAAGACCAACAGGAAGAAAAAAACCUAAUGAAGAAAAAGGAAAAAAAUCUGAAUUAAGUGGGUUAACUGGUCAAACCUGGGAUUCGUGUCAUGAAAAUCUGAUAAUUAAACAGAAAAAAUUUAAUAUUAAGAAACUAAAUUAAAAAAAGACUAAUUAAAAAAAGACAAAAAAAAACUAAAGGCAUCAGCUUUUUCACUCUUAAAAAGGAAAAGAGAGAAAAAUAAAAACAAAAGCAAACGCCACGGGUUAAUUUUUUUUUUCUUGCAUAAAAAAUAUUAAAAAAAACUAAGAUCUAAGAGUAUUAGGUCUUUCUGCAAAGAUAUGCCCAAGAGCCUUUGGUUUAGUUGCAACGCUUGACCCAAGAGUAAUAUUUAUAAUAAUAAUAAUAAUAAUAAACUUACAUGACUCAAGUUUAAGUGAGUCUGGCUGCAAGGUCGUGUCAUAAAAGUGUGAUGAUUAAAUAUAUUAAUUAAAAAGAAAAAAACCAACAUGAAGAAAAAAACUAAUGAAGAAAAAGAAAAAAAUAUGAAUUAACUGGAUUAACCCUUCAAACCAGGUUAACCCGUCAAACCUGAGAUUCAUGUUAUGAAAGUUUGAUAACUAAAUAGAAAACAAAAUUGACGGGUUAACCUGUCAAGCCUGGGAUACGUGUCAUGAAAGUCUGAUAAUUAAAUAGAAAGAAAUUUAACAUUAACAAAAUAAACUAAACGAAAAAAAAUUAAUUUAAAAGAAAAAAAGUAAAAAAAAAAUUCUAGGUUAACUCAUCAAACCAAAUUAACCCAUCAAAUCCGGGAUCCGUGUCAUGAAAGUCUGAUAACUAAAUAAAAAAAAUAACAUUAACAAACUAAAUUAAACAAAAAAAAUUCAUAAAAGAAAAAAAAACACAGAAAAAAAACAAAAAAAACAUAAAGGCAAAAAAAACAAAAACAAAAUUAAGUGAGAAUUACUGAUGUGCUUUGCCAAGCUUUGCAACAGAAAUCUCAAGACAUUUUAAAUGCUAUGCAUUUGCUGACUACCAUAAAGACUUUAAUUCAGAAGUUAAGAGAUGAUGGAUUGGAAACUCUUUUAGAACAAGUGACAUCAUUUUGUAAGCAUAAAAACAUUGAAGUUCCUGAUAUGGAUGCUUGUUUUUCUAGUGUGGGACGAUCUCGCUGUAAAACAAAAUCAAUAACAGUUGAGCAUCACUAUCGAGUUGAUAUAUUUAUAGCUAUCAUUGAUCAAUAGUUGCAAGAGCUAAAUAAUAGAUUCUAUGAGCAGGCGAUCGAGCUUCUUAAGUUGAGCAUAGCUUUAGAUCCUAAAAAUAACUAUAAAUUAUUCAGUGUUGAAGAUAUAUGCUAACUUGUUGACAAGUUCUAUCCUGAAGACUUUUCUGACCAAGAAAAAACUCAUUUGAGAUUUCAGUUGCAGCAUUAUGAGCUUGAUGUACCCAAUCAUCCAAAGUUAAAGAAUAUGUCAUCGAUUGCUGAUUUAUGUCAAGGACUGGUUGAAAUAGAAAAAUCAACAAUUUAUCUACUCAUUGAUAAGUUGAUUCGACUUAUUUUGACUCUUCCUGUUUCGACAGCAACUACUGCACGAGCUUUUUCAGCGAUGAAGAUUGUUAAAACAAGACUUCGCAAUCGGAUGGAGGAUGAUUUUCUUGCAAAUUAUUUGAUUGUCUAUAUAGAAAAAGAAAUUGCUGAAAGAUUCACAAUUGAUAUGAUAAUCGAUGAUUUCUACUCCAUGAAAGAAAGACAAAAACAAUUAAAAUAAAUAUGUAAGAAUCAUUCUUUAUUACUUUUUAUUUUAUUUAAAAGUUUUAUCAAACAUAAAUAAUGUAUCGCUUUAGCUAAUGUUUCUUAUAUAUUUUGUAUGUUUAUAUUUGAUAGGUACAAAAACCAACAAAAUUAAAGUGAUGAAUACAUUAUGAAGAUGAAAUUAACUUCAUAGCUUUGACUUAAUUUGAUAUUUGCUUUAAACAUCUUAUCUUAUACAAAAAUCAUAAUAUGUUUGUAAUUACUUUUUUGAAUAAAACUAAAUCAUGUCGUUUUUGUUUUUGUUUUUAUUUUUAUUUUUAUGUAAAGUAAAUUUUUAAAUAAAUUAUAUCUUUUAUUAUUUUAACCCCCAUUCAAAUAAUCCCAGCCCCUGACCGCAAUAACAAUCAAAAUAAAAUCUAAUUCUACCGGCUGCUAAGAAUACUAAAAUAGUGUAAAUUUUGACUUAAUUCAAUUAUUAGAAUUCGGGGCAGAUAACAGUGUUGAAGAAAAUGUCAGAAAAGUAGGGUAAACAGUACAAAUACCUUGGAUGAUGGUGACUAACGCCGUUUGUUUACGCGGGCGCGGGUGCGGUUGCCUUUUAAUUAAUAAAUAUCGGUAGUUGGAGACUUCUUGUUCUCGAAAAGAAAUAGUUAAUAGUGCCAAUAAUUAAUCUGCUCUCAACUUGCUACAAGCUGUCAUUACUCAUUACCAAAAUAUUAAAGAAACAAAUAUUUCCUAUUAGUAGAAAAGCGAUCUAAUAAAGCGAUUGUUCAGUUGACGUUAUUGAAUUGCUUUUUUAUAAAAAGUUAAUUUUUAAAUAUUUAUAGAUUAUUUUAUAUAUAAAUUUAAAAAAAAUCUUAAAAAAUUUAAAAAUAUAUUUUAAUAUAAUUAAAAAAAACAUUUGAAAAACAAUUAAUAGUAUAGUCUCAGGUCUCAACCACCCAAAAUAUACAUUUGAAAAACAUUUUAUAUACCUUGGAUUAAAUUGUGUUGUAGGUUCCACACCAUUUAAAGCUUGCAAAGAAGGAUUUAAAACACAAUCACGCUAAAGAUUUGCAAUCCAAUAUAAUAUGAAAUAAAACCCCAUUGCAUCACCGGACAUGUGAUCAAUAAUAUUAAAAUACUGUAAAUUUUGAUUUAAUUCAAUUAUUAGAGCUUGAGGCAGCGUGACAAUGUGAAAGAAAAUGUCAGAAAAUCUUGGAUGAUGGUGACCAUAUCAGUAAUUUGAGACAGCAAGUUCUCGAAAGGUAAUAGUUGAUGGUACCAAAAAUUAAACCAGCUCUCAACUCGCUACAAAUAGCUGCCAUGGCCUUUCGUUCUACAUUAUAUUUCUUUUUUUACUUUCAUGGAAUCCUCUUUGCCUUCCACCCCAAUCUUGGAUUCUGGUGAAAGUGCAGAGAGGAAAAAUGAAGCAAAAAAUUACAAUGAAGUAAUGUACACCCUUCCAAAAGUUAAAGGCUUGAGGGGGAAUGAUUAUUACCUGUACCAAGGCUUUUGGUACUCUUCCUUCUUCUUGGAAGGACUCAUGUCUGUUCAAGAGCACUUCAAUCCUCAAUCCACUGAUAUAUUUCUCACCAGUUCUCCAAAAACUGGCACAACUUGGCUUAAGGCCCUCGCUUUUGCUAUUCUUACACGAUCCCGUUUAAGUGGUUCAACAACUAGUUCUUUACUUACCAAGAUGCCACAUGACUGUGUUCCUUUUUUGGAAUAUCACCUUGCUCAAAACCCAAGUAAUCGGGACUUGGCAAUUCCCCUGCUAUCUACUCAUGUUCCUUACAGUUGUUUACCUAAAUCUAUCAUUUCUUCUAGUUGCAAGAUUAUUUACAUUUGCAGGGACGCAAAGGAUGCUUUUGUUUCUUUGUGGUGCUUUUUUCCGCGCAUCAAAUGUCGAAAAAUGUUGAACCUCUUCCUCUGGAAGAGGCCUUUGAGAUGUUUUGCAACGGAAUUUCAGUCUUGGGACCAUAUUGGGACCAUGUUUUAGGGUAUUGGAGAGCAAGAUUUGAGUUCCCUGAGAAGAUAUUGUUCUUGACAUACGAGGAAAUGAAGAUAGACACCGCUGCUCAUGUUAAGAAACUAGCUGAGUUCAUGGGUUGUUCUUUCACCUUCGAGGAAGAGGAGGAAGGGGAGGUGCAAAAGAUAAUAAGCAUGUGUAGUUUUGAGAAGUUGAGCAACUUUGAGGUGAAUAAAAAUGGGAAGCACCGUCCCGUCCGGACACAUCAAUUGCUAUUCAAAAUAGUUUAUACUUUAGGAAAGGUGAGAUAGGCGACUGGGCAAAUCACUUGACACCUGAGAUGGGAGCGCGUCUAGAUGACAUAAUGGAGCGGAAGCUCAAGGGUUCAGGCUUGAAGCUGCCCAGGUGACCGUGCCUGGGGUCCCAUUUGCAUAUGAUUAUUGCCGAAGUGGGUUCAUCAAAAGGUGUUAUCAGGAUGUCGUGAAACAGCAACUGUGUAUCCCAAUAAAUACCCUCUCUGUUCAUAGCAAGUAUUCACAUUUUGUGAAUCUUCCAUGUCAAUAAGCAAUAUUCUUUUGUGAAUCUGUGUUUGUGACUUUCAUUGAUUUCCUUGCAUGUUUGUAAGAAUUCAAAAUGGGAUUCGUUUUUUUUUUUUAUUUAACACAAGUGCAUGCAUUCCAUUCAUCAGUUUGAUAAAAAAUAAAUUUACUCUAAUAUAUAAUAUUAGAGUGUUUUCUUCACAGAAAUUGCAGUGUGUUUUUCUUCACAGCUAUACAUGUUUGAAAAGAACCGAGACAACCAUACAUGAGGGUGGAGCAAAGACCAACCGAGACAACCAUCCAUUAAGAUUGUUGAAUUGCAGAUCAAAUGAACGUAGGCGGCACAUCUACUGAAAGGAUCUCGAAAUGCCUUGUAAUUGGUUAAAAUAAAAGAUCAAGAUCUGUAGGAGAACUCGUGUUUUCCACUCCUAAAAUAAGCCCAGUUGCCGGCUUCAUUUGCAACAGAGACACAUAAAGAAUCUGAAAGCAGUUCUUAUGCACUAUCAGCAAAAUAAUUUGACCAGUCAGAAUGAUUUUUUUCCCCCUUACUAGGCUCAGAUCACAAUCCUUCUUACUUCAAACAAAUCUUUUGGAACCGAUAUGUCGAGGGAUGGCUUGAUUUAUACCGGAGAUUUUGAUGGAAACUUAAAGAAGCGUGGCUUAAUUAUACCUUGGAUGCGCAAAUUGAUUACAGGGAAAAAAUGACAGAAAGUGAGUUGCAGGGAAUGAAAAAGGCAUUUGUAAACUCAACACCUUUCAGGGCAUCGUUCCUUGGUUUACUCCCUUUUAUUUCUUAUUUUGUUUUUCCUGCCAUUGUCUAAGUUUUUCUAACUCGCAGUCUGGUCUCUGCAGAGAAUGAGACAGCAAAAACGCUUUAAGAGAAGAUAUUCUCCGGCAACGGCAUCAAACAGAAAAGUCUGACAUCAACUAAGUGCGUGUUUGACACUCCGGUUAUGUUUACAUAAAAAACAUCGUUGUCAUGUGUUUGGUUACAGUCUAAACAUAAUUUUCUGUUUGUGAGACCCGUUAUCAUUUGCUUUUAAACCGCAAGAUAACCAAAAGCAACUUCAAGCUGCCUUUUGUGUUGAGUUGCAAACUUUAUAAACAAAGGCCACAAGAAAAAGAGCAGAAACAUAGCAGUGAAUAGUAAACAGUGGAGAGUAGCUCCCUCUCACCACCGGCAUCCACCGUUUCCACCGCCAGCCACUGCUCUUCCUCUUCCCCUUCUCCUUCUCCUUUAUCUUCUGCAUUGUCCACUGUUCACGUUGCAUGUGAACAGUGGAGAGCAGCUCACCACCGGCCUCCGCUGUUUCCACCGCCAGCCACUACUCUUCCUCUUUCCCUUCCCCUUCUUCUUCUUCUUCUACAUUUUCCACUGUUCACAUGAACAGUGGAGAGCAUCUCCACUAUUCAUGGCCGGAUUGGGUCUGACCCAAACCUAAAUGCAUUGGACUGGGUCCGACCAAGUAAAAUAAAAAAAUCUAAAAACAUUUCUUAGAUAUUGUGUUUUAUUUGAAAAACUAGUGUUUAAAAUUAUUCAAUGACACUAUAUAAUUAUAUUAGAAGGAGAUCGCAUGAUGACAUAGCAUUUGCAGAAUUUGAUUGCAAUCCCAAUUUUGUUCCUAAUGAUAUUUUACCUGAUGUGAUGAUAUUUUACCUGAUGUUGGUAUACGUUCAAGAAGCCAUGAAAACUGUAGUUCUUGUCGGAUGGAUUUCGUACGUGAUUGAAUUGCAAAUAGUUUAAUAAAACAAUAAAAAAUACUUUAUAUAAAGUAUUGUUUAUUUCAUGAUUUAAUAGCAGUAGUUAAAUCUAUAAUAUUUCAAUUAAAAACCAUCAAUAUUAAUAUAUGUUUUUUUUAAUUAUUUUAUAACCUUAAUUUGAAAAAUAUUCUUUAAACCAAACACAUUAAACUACUUUUUGUUCAACCUCAAUUUCAACCACAAUUUUAACCAAAUAUAUAUUUUUUCAAACCAAUCUCAACUAAAAGUAAUUUUUAUAAAACAACUUUUUCAAACUAUAACCACAACAGCUACCACAAUACCAAAUACACAUAAAAAAAACUGUAAUGAUAAGCAAGUUAAAGUGCCACCAUUGAUUUAGGAUCUGCUUUAGAUCUUAUAAGGUGAAAGUAAAACACAAGGAAAUGCAUGCAUGCACACCACUAAUCUUUGAUUCUGGCGAGAACAGUGAUGACUACACUCAGAACCAUAUAGAAUUACAUUCCAAGAUGAAGAAAUUAAUAACAGAGCAGUGCUAUAAAGCUAAAUGUGAGAACCAAAGAUUAAUAAGCAAUGCUGAAAAUUUUAUCAUGCAUAAGAUGAGAGAAGCACAGGACAGAUUUUAUCAAAUCUAUAGUUUUUCUUCAAUAAUAAUAAUAUUUUUUAAAAAUUUAAUAAUAAUAAAAAAAAAAAACUCAUGUUCCUUGGCUCUUUCUCUUGCCAAACUGAAGCUACCAUAGUCAAAUCCAAGUAACUUAGAUGUCACGCUCUUGCUAAACCCAAGUUAUUUGGGUAUGACAUCUCAUGCUGGACUCAUAGCAUUCCAGAUCAAAGGUGUUGAUAUCUAACAAUAAUACCUCACCCGAGCCCUAAGAUGUGAUUGCUUUUCUAGACCCGAGGGCCAAGGCACCAAGACACUAUUCACUAUAAGUCAAGUCAAUGAAUCAAUCAAUCGAUUUUAAAGAUCAAGUUUUUUUUUUAAUAGAGAAACAAAACUUUUAUUAACAUUGAAAUAACUCUUAAAAUCUUAAUAAAAUUAAUUUGAAGUAAAAAUAAUAUUAAAAGAAAUAUUCAGAAGCACUUUUUGAUUGUAAAAUCAAACACACUAAAAUCAUGUAGAUUUUCAUUUAGACAUUAAAAUUCAAGAAGAAAUUAAGUUCACAGUACUAUUAAUUCAAUCGAUGAAGGAUUAGACCCAACUACUUUAGGGCCACCAUUGACAUUGAUUACUUUGAAUAAUUUUAAUUUAUAGGCAUAAAAAAUUAAUACAUAUCUUUAAGAGGAUCAAUUUUAGAUUAUCUCUCUCUCUCUCUCUCUAUUUUUUUUUUGGUUUUCAAAUAUUUGACAUUUUCGUUUAGAUAAGCUCUAGUGUGUGUUUUUUUAAGAUUAUUUUAAAUCAUGUUUCUUGAAAUGUCAAAAACAUUUCAUGGAUUAAUUUAACUUAAUAACGCCAAAGAAUUAGGAAUUAAAACUGACAAUUUCCACCAUGUAAGAGUACCUAAUUGAAAAUUUACUUUCUUAUCAUUUACCUCAAUUAAGCGGAAGCAUGAUCAUGAGAAGGGAUUUGGAGAAAGAAUUAUAAACAGAGAAUAAGAGAAAAUGUAAUGUGUAUAGAUUUUCUUAAUGAAUUAAUUAUGAUACAACAGAAGCUCAUAUAUAUAUAUAUAUACAUUCUAAACUAAUCAGUUAUGAAAUGUUAUUACAAAUAUAAUUUGAAUUUCAAUUUUAAAAUCAUGAUUAGUGCAGGUUUAUCAAUGCAGCAGAAUAUCCAUCAUAAACAAGAAGUUCACAGUUACAAAGUUUGAAUCUUUGUAACUGUAACUCUCUUUUGAAACUCUCUUCUUGGUCUUCAAUAUCCGUUAGCUAGCUGGAGAUGUAACAGUUACAAAGUUUGAAUCUUUGUAACUGUAACUCUCUUCUUGGUCUUCAAUGUCUGUCAGUUACAAAGUUUGAAUCUUUGUAACUGUAACUCUCUUAUGCUUAACAUUCCCCUGCAAACUGAUGGGGAUAGGAAUCACCAUCAAUUUGGACCGUAAAAACAUAAACCUUGCUGUAGUAUGACCUUUGGUGAAGACAUCUGCAAUCUGGUCAUAUGUUGAAAUAUAUCGUACAAGAAUAUCCUUAUUAAGAACUUUUUCACGGAUGAAGUGAUAAUCCACCUCUAUGUGCUUCGUUCGGGCAUGAAAAACAGGAUUAGAGGCAAGAGAUAUUGCACCUACAUUAUCACACCAUAGUGUAGGAGGUGACGACAAUGAAAUGCCAAGAUCUUGCAAUAACAUUCGAAGCCAAUAUAGUUCAGCAGUGACAAGAGCCAUGGAUCGAUAUUCGGCCUCAGUACUGGAUUUAGACACAACACUUUGUUUCUUUGCACUCCAGGAUAUGAGAUUUUGGCCUAGAAACACAAUAUAACCACUUGUAGAUUUUCUAUCAUCAGGAUUCCCAGCCCAAUCUGCAUCACAGAAAGCAUCUAAUGUUGUUGUCGAUUGAGUGUAGUGAAUACCAUAAUCAAUUGUUCCUUUCAAGUAACGAAGAACUCUUUUGGUAGCAAUCCAGUGUGGUUCUCGUGGAGCAUGCAUGAAUUGGCAUAAUUGGUUCACUGCAUAGCUGAUGUCAGGUCUUGUUAAAGUGCAAUAUUGAAGAGCACCAAUAACUUGAUGAUAUUCAGUUGGAUCAUUCAAUAUCCGUUAGCUAGCUGGAGAUGUAACAGUUACAAAGUUUGAAUCUUUGUAACUGUAACUCUCUUAUGCUUAACAUUUGGGAGGCACUUAGAUUAGGCUCUUCUCUAGUCUUGAGAAGCAAAACCAAUAGAGACGUGAUUGCGCACUCCCUGAGCUAUAUAGUAAGUGGCUGCAAACAAAUUGUCAGCACCAAUUCAGGUCCGGAAAAUUAAAGCAUUGAAGCAUAAAAGGUGACCUAACCUAAUUAAGCAAAUUACUACUUAUUCCAGCAUCACCUAGGAGUGAGACAGCCAGCCCAUCCAGUGUCUACAUGGUAAGGGAAUAAUUCCUUCAAGAAUGCAGAGAAAAUUAUACUUGCAAUACAACUAUAAACGAGAUGGUACAGUGCGGAAGGCAAGAUGUUAAAUCAAUUGAUCUUAUUAUAAUACUGUGAAAUAUGAUCAGGACAAAAAAAUAAAUAAAGAAAGAAAGAGUUGUUUAUUUUACAAUGAUCGAUAUGAUGCUUCUUUGCAUGUGGAAUCUUCGUCAAAGACUUGUUGAAAAUGCCAAAUUGUGAUCCACUUUUGGCUGUGUCAAAUGCAUGGGUGGGGCUUCACACAGAGCUAUUACCCCUUGUGUAAACUCAACGCCAGUUUUCAUGAGUUCUUUGGGAUUCUAACAUAGUAAAAAAAAGAAAGAUAAAAUAACAAAGUGUAAAGAAUAUUUAGUGAAAUAGAUAUUCGUGAUUAAUCAGUAGCAAUUAUUAUAUGCUGGCUCUCUCGGGUUUACUUGACAGAAGAUUUAUUAAAAAGAGUUGAUAAAGGAGAAAGAAAAGAAAAGAAAAUCUUCAAGGUAUAUCAAAACUCUGAUAAUAAUAUUAUUGGUAUUGUUAAAAAAAUCUCGACAAGACAAAUCGAAAAAUAACAAUGAAGGUCAUCAAUGACGAUAAAAAUAAGUCAUACGAGUGGCCCAAGAUAAGUGAGUUUUAAUACUUUUGAACAGCUUGUAUGAUUCAUUUUAUUCACUAUUUAUAAUCUUUUUUGAUGCUGUUAAAUUCAUCUUGUAAUGAUGUUGAUAAUGUUAUCAUUAUAAUUUCAAUGUAUUUUUAUUUUUAUUAUUAUUUUUUGUUUUGCUCUCUCUCCUCUCUCAUUGUAAUUUAUGAAGAGUAAGAGAGGGGGAAAAAAAAAACCCUAGUCUUCCAAUUUAAUCUGGCUGAAUACUACUAUCUCAAUCUUAUUCACUACUUUGUCAAAGCAAAGUAGAUUUUUCCUUAAAUAAGAUCUAAUCCACCGGCGGAUAGGUGAUCAAGAAUAUUAAAUUAGUGUAAAACUUGAUUUAAUUCAACAUUAUAAUUAGAGGUGCUAUAAUAAUGUGAAAAAAAGAAUAAAAAAACUAGAUGAUGGCGACCACAUAUCAAUAAUUCCAGACAUCACGUGGAGCACUUUCAUCAUCAUUAUUAUUAUUGGUAUAAUAAUGUUUGUUGUAUUAUUUUUUAAUUGUUAAGUUGUUUACUAUAUGUUAAAAUUUCAAGAUCUUCAAAGAUUGGGAAGAUCGGAUCUAAAGUUACUAUGGGACUGUCUUUAUUUUCCUAUUUGGAUUUUUUUAUUUAUAUUAAGAAUUUAAAUUUAAUUAGUAUUUUAUUAUUUAAAAAUUUUAAUGGUAAAUUGAUUCUAUUAGUUAGGUAAAUUUUAAAUAUAAAUUAUUUUUCUAUACAAAAUUUUAAAUCUAGAACUAAUAUAAAUAAAAAUAUUUAGUUUAUUUUUGUUCGAGGAUUCAUAUUAUUAUUUAAAUUUUUUUAUAAAUAUUUAGAGAUUUUUUCUAAUUUCCUAUGGUGUUAGGGAUUAUAACCUUAAGGUUUGGUUUGAAAUAAUGAUGACAGUUAUUUCUUAAAGUGUUUUUCACUUGAAAAUACAUUAAAAUAAUAUUUUUUUUAUUUUUUAAAUUUUUUUUUGAUAUCAGCAUAUCAAAACAAUUCAAAAACACCAAAAACUUAAUUUGAAAAAAAAUCAAAAUUUAUAAAAACCCCGGUUAAAAUGUUUUACCAAACACUUCUUAGUUUUUAAUAUUAAUACAUCAAAACAAUCCAAAAAUAUUAAUUUAAAAUUUUUAAAAACUCCGGUUGCGUUUGUAAGAUGUGUUGCGGCUCUCAACUUGCUACAAUGGCCUUUCUUUAAUAUUUUAUUUACACCAUUCAUGGAACCCUCUUUGCCUUCCACACAAAUCCCGGAUUUUGGUGAAACUGCUAAGAGGAAAAAUGAAGAGCUUUCCAAAGGCCAUGCUAAAACUACAAAGAAGUGAUCUCUACCUUUCCAGAAGUUAAAGGCUUUUGGGACGUUCCGCUCUUCUUGGGAAGACUCAUGUCAGUUCAAGAACACUACAAGCCUCAAUCCACUGAUAUAUUUGUCGCCAGCUUUCCAAAAACGAAGGAAAUCUUUGGUUAAUGUUCUCUGAAUCUCUCCUUUUCUCCUUCAAGAGUGAAAUUUAUGUGCCUUUCGUACCUUUUUACGUUAGAACAUUUCAUUUGUUCUUGUUUUCUAAAUUGAGUCUUUUCUAUGCGUUUUAUUAUUUUAUUUAUUGGGUAUUUGAGAGUGUAGUAAUAGUUAUAAUUUAAAGUGUUUUUAUUCAAAAAUAUAUUAAAAUAAUAUAUAUUUUUAAUUUUUUAAUAUUCAUCUUUUGACAACAUCACUCCAAAACAUUAGAAAACAUAAAAAAAAAAAAAACAAUUAGAAAACAAUUAGAAAACGCAAGAUUGCAUCAAUGCUAAAUGCAAUAUAUAUAUAUAGGUGCGCGCGCGCGCGUGUGUGAGAGAGAGAGAGAUCCACCUGUGUGUGAAAUGCAUAGUGAUGUUCCACAGCGAGCCAUUAUCUAUUAUGUAAAAUCUCUGAGAAAUGUCAUAGAUCAAUUGGUCGAUAUAGCAAAUUGAUAGGUUAAAGCUGCUCAUAAUCAAUACCUCUAAAAGAUUAUCUUUGGUGGAGAUGAAAACUUUUUGAUAUGUAAAUAAGUAUUUAAAAAAAAAUUAAAUAUUCUAUAAAGAGAUGUUCUGAAAAUACAAAUGCAGUAGAGAAUUGGAGAUUGUGAAUCUUUAUUAUGAAGGUCUCAUGAUAUAUUUAUAGCUCGAAUCUUGUCAUUUUGUGAAAAUAAGAGUUUGCAGUGUAAUUAACCUGAUAACAUUUAAUGAGGAAUAAAUAUCAUUUACAUGAUGGGAAUAUGGUGGGUCCUCGAAGGAGUUUUAUACACCUUAAAAGGUAUCAGAAAAUUAGAGUUUAAGAUAUCAAGUGUAGCUGAGCUUAUAGAGAUCAAGUUCUUUCUUGAGAUUAAAUCCAAGGGAGGUUUGUCAUUCCCCUGGACAUGCCAAGGAAGAAUGGUUAUUAUCUUGGACUUGGUUGGUUGCCAAAUCCAAGCAUCUUGGGCAUGACAUGCGUGCCAGAUCCACACUACCUUGAAGUUGGAGCACUACUAAGUCCAAGCGCCUCGGGUCUGACAUGCAUGCCAGACUUAUACUACGCUGGACUUGGUGCAUUACUAAGUCCAAAUGCCUUGGGUCUGAUAUGCCUGUUAGACCUAUAUUAUCUUGGGCUUGACGCAUUACUAUAUUCAAGCACCUUGAACUUAAUUAAUUGUCAAGUCCAUGCAUCUUAGAUUUAGAUCUAACAUAUACACUAGACUCAUAUUACAUUGAAUCUAGCGCAUUACAAAGUUAUAAUGCCUUGAAUUAAGUAUAUGUGCCACAUCCAUACAUUUUAAAAAACCAAACGAAAACUAAAUAAAAAGUUGACUCAUCGCUAAUCUAUAAAUACUAUCUACAUAAUGGCCUUAGUUGAUAUCUUCUACCGCUUACUACAUUUACUUGAAUAAUGAAAAUGUUUUUUUUUUUUAAUGGAAAAGAGAUUUUAACUCCAUCUUCAAUUACUAUAUAAAUGUUUCCUUGGGUUUUGAAAACGCAAUCAUGCUAAAAAUUUAUUAUCUAAUAUAAAAUAAAAUGUAUUUGUUUUUAUAUUUUAAAAAUGUUUUUUUUUUAAUUUUUUAAUUUUCAUCUUGUUUUGAUGUGUUAAUAUUAAUAAUAAAUUUUAAAAAUAAAAAAAAUAUUAUUUUAAUAUAUUUUUUAAAUUAAAAAUAUUUUAAAAAAUAACUAUUACAACAUUAACGAAUAAGAUUUAAUAUAAAAAACAUUCUAAUUGCAUCAGCUGAGAGGUGAUCAACAAUACCGCAUUCCCGAACUUCACAUCCCUAUAUUAAUGGAUUGUGUUGUGGGCUCCACGCCAUUUAAAGCUUGUAAGAGAAACCACACCUCUAAAUAGAAACCACACGAUCACGCUAAAAGAUUUGCUAUCGAAUAUAAUAUGAAAUAAAACCCAAUUGCAUCAGCGGACAUGUGAUCAAUAAUAUUAAAAUAAGGUAAUAGUUGAUGGGCCACAAAUUAAACCAGCUCUCAACUCGCUACAAAUAGCUGCCAUGGCCUUUCAUUCUACGUUAUAUUUUCAUUUUUUACAUUCAUGGAAUCCUCUUUGCCUUCCACCCAAAUCUCGGAUUCUGGUGACAGUGCAGAGAGGAAAAAUGAAGCUAAAAAUUACAAUGAAGUGAUGUCCACCUUUCCGAAAGUUAAAGGCUUGAAUGGGUAUGAUUAUUACCUGUACCAAGGCUUUUGGUACGCUCCCUUCUUCUUGGAAGGACUCUUGUCUGUUCAAGAGCGCUUCAAUCCUCAAUCCACUGAUAUAUUUGUCGCCAGUUGUCCAAAAACUGGCACAACUUGGCUUAAGGCCCUCACUUUUGCUAUUUUCACACGAUCCCGUUUAAGUGGUUCAACAACUAGUUCUUUACUUACCAAGAUGCCACAUGACUGUGUUCCUUUUUUGGAAUAUCACCUUGCUCAAAACCCCAGUAAUCGGGACUUGGCAAUUCCUCUGGUAUCUACUCAUGUUCCUUGCACUUGUUUACCUAAAUCUAUCAUUUCUUCUUGUUGCAAGAUUAUUUACAUUUCCAGGGACGCAAAGGAUGCUUUUGUUUCUUUGUGGUACUUUCUUGCCAGGCUGCAAAUGUCGAAAAAUGUUGAACCUCUUCCUCUGGAAGAGGCAUUUGAGUUGUUUUGCAAUGGAAUUGCAAAUUUUGGACCAUAUUGGGACCAUGUUUUAGGGUAUUGGAGAGCAAGCUUC